AUGUUGGGUUAAGUCCCGCAACGAGCGCAACCCUUGUCUCAUGUUGCCAGCGGGUAAUGCCGGGGACUCGUGAGAGACUGCCGGGGUCAACUCGGAGGAAGGUGGGGAUGACGUCAAGUCAUCAUGCCCCUUAUGUCCAGGGCUUC
rnacentral:rRNA from 1 species